rnacentral:rRNA from 1 species
CCUACGGGAGGCAGCAGUGAGGAAUAUUGGUCAAUGGGCGGAAGCCUGAACCAGCCAAGUAGCGUGCGGGAUGAAGGCCCUACGGGUGGUAAACCGCUUUUGCACGGGGGUAACACCCUCCACUUGUGUAGUUCUACAGGUACCGUGCGAAUAAGAGCCGGCUAAUACCGUGCCAUAAGCCGCGGUAAUACGGAAGGCCCGAGCGUUAUCCGGAUUCGUUGGGUUAAAAGGGUGCGCAGGCGGAAGAGAAAGUCAGCGGUAAAAUUAAGGGGCUAAACCUCGUCGAGCCGUUGAAACUGGUUGGCUUGAGUGAGCGAGAAGUAUGCGGAAGGCGUGGUGUAGCGGUGAAAUGCAUAGAUAUCACGCAGAACUCCGAUUGCGAAGGCAGCAUACCGGCGCUCAACUGACGCUCAUGCACGAAAGUGUGGGUAUCGAACAGGAUUAGAUACCCUAGUAGUC